AACGAACGCUGGCGGCAGGCCUAACACAUGCAAGUCGAACGCCCCGCAAGGGGAGUGGCAGACGGGUGAGUAACGCGUGGGAACCUACCUUUCGGUGCGGAAUAACUUCGGGAAACCAAAGCUAAUACCGCAUACGCCCUACGGGGGAAAGAUUUAUCGCCGAUAGAUGGGCCCGCGUCGGAUUAGCUUGUUGGUGAGGUAACGGCUCACCAAGGCGACGAUCCGUAGCUGGUCUGAGAGGAUGAUCAGCCACACUGGGACUGAGACACGGCCCAGACUCCUACGGGAGGCAGCAGUGGGGAAUAUUGGACAAUGGGCGCAAGCCUGAUCCAGCCAUGCCGCGUGAGUGAAGAAGGCCUUAGGGUUGUAAAGCUCUUUUAGUGGGGAAGAUAAUGACGGUACCCACAGAAUAAGCCCCGGCUAACUUCGUGCCAGCAGCCGCCGUAAGAC
rnacentral:rRNA from 1 species